UGAGGAAUAUUGGUCAAUGGCCGGAAGGCUGAACCAGCCAAGUCGCGUGAGGGAAUGAGGCCCUACGGGUCGUGAACCUCUUUUGCCGGGGAGCAAGGCCCUCCACGUGGGGAGGGAAGGAGAGUACCCGGAGAAAAAGCAUCGGCUAACUCCGUGCCAGCAGCCGCGGUAAUA
rnacentral:rRNA from 1 species